rnacentral:rRNA from 1 species
CCUACGGGUGGCAGCAGUGAGGAAUAUUGGUCAAUGGGCGAGAGUCUGAACCAGCCAAGUCGCGUGAGGGAUGACUGCCCUAUGGGUUGUAAACUUCUUUUAUAUGGGAAUAAAGUGUUCCACGUGUGGGAUUUUGUAUGUACCAUAUGAAAAAGGAUCGGCUAACUCCGUGCCAGCAGCCGCGGUAAUACGGAUGAUCCGAACGUUAUCCGGAUUUAUUGGGUUUAAAGGGAGCGUAGGUGGAUUGUUAAGUCAGUUGUGAAAGUUUGCGGCUCAACCGUAACAGUGCAGUUGAAACUGGCAGUCUUGAGGAGAGGAGAGGUGGGCGGAAUUCGUGGUGUAGCGGUGAAAUGCUUAGAUAUCACGAAGAACUCCGAUUGCGAAGGCAGCUCACUGGACUGCAACUGACGCUGAGGCUCGAAAGCGUGGGUAUCAAACAGGAUUAGAUACCCCAGUAGUC